UGAAAGCAAAAAUUGCGUUUGAAGCGGCGGAGAUCGAUCUAGCGAUUUGCGUUUGAGAUCCUUUAGAGGAACUCGAACCGCUCAUCCCCUCUUUCAUCUCCUCGUCCUCCUCCGCUUACGUAACCCUAACGAAGUCGGAGAAUCUCUGGUGAAUCGAUCUUGAUUUCAAUCUUCCUCUCCCAGAAACAAAAAAUCUCCAUCGAAAUCGAACGCAAGUGGUGGGAUUAAAGGGAGAGCAAUGGAUUUGGAUCAAUGGAUUUCGAAGGUUAAAGACGGUCAGCAUCUCUCCGAGGACGAGCUUCAGCUUCUCUGCGAAUACGUGAAAGAGAUUCUGAUUGAGGAGUCAAACGUACAGCCUGUCAACAGUCCAGUCACCGUCUGUGGUGACAUCCAUGGCCAGUUUCAUGAUCUCAUUAAGCUUUUUCAGACCGGUGGUCAUGUUCCCGACACCAACUACAUUUUUAUGGGGGACUUUGUGGAUAGAGGUUACAACAGCCUUGAAGUCUUCACUAUUCUUUUGCUUCUUAAAGCUAGACAUCCAGCCAAUAUCACACUUCUGCGUGGAAAUCAUGAAAGUAGACAGCUAACGCAGGUUUAUGGUUUCUAUGACGAAUGCCAAAGGAAGUAUGGUAACGCUAAUGCAUGGCGAUAUUGCACAGAUGUUUUUGACUAUCUUACCAUAUCAGCUAUUAUUGAUAGCACAGUUCUAUGUGUUCAUGGUGGCCUUUCCCCGGAUGUCCGGACAAUUGAUCAGAUAAGACUGGUCGAUCGAAAUUGUGAAAUUCCCCAUGAAGGUCCCUUUUGCGAUCUUAUGUGGAGCGAUCCUGAAGAUAUUGAAACAUGGGCUGUUAGUCCACGUGGAGCUGGUUGGCUUUUCGGAUCGAGGGUUACCACUGAGUUCAACCACAUCAACAAGCUUGAUCUAGUAUGCCGUGCACACCAGCUGGUACAAGAAGGUCUGAAGUACAUGUUCCAAGAUAAAGGCCUUGUAACUGUAUGGUCUGCACCUAAUUACUGUUACCGGUGUGGCAAUGUCGCUUCUAUAUUGAUUUUCGAUGAAAACAUGGUGAGCCCAUAUGUUUAAGUCUUUCCUAUUGAAUAGUCUAGUCUUGCUCUCUAUCAGAACAAGUACACAUUUCUUGGUUUGGUAUCUGCUUUUUAAAGUAAAGGUAUAAGGAGAACUAUAGAAAGAAAGUUAAACAAGUAAGCACGUGUGGGUGUUUGCCAUGGAUUAUAGGAAAGGGAUGUGAAGUACUUUAACGAGACCGAAGAGAACAAUCAAAUGAGAGGGCCAAGGACUGGAGUUCCGUAUUUCCUGUAAUGAAACUAUUAUGUUUGCCCCCCUUCUUCCAUCGCUGCGAUGAUGAUGAUGAUGGUAUGAAGCCAUUGCUAGCUACCAUUGACAAUAUGUUCAGUCUCAAAAGAUUAUAUGUAAAUAUAAUCACACUUCCAUUAUUUUUGUCCACUAGGUGACAUUUUC